ACAUUUUUCUGAUAAUAUUCCUUUCUCUUAAAAAAAAAAAAGCAGUUCCUGUGUGGUGAUCACCAAUAGGUUCUUCAUAAUGAUAUAAGGGUCAUAUCAAAGUGUGGGCAAAGGGUUUGUUUGUAUUUAUAAAGAGGAUCAAAGCCUAGUUUGGCUACCCAGAGAACAAAUUAUGAUACGAUAUGAAGAAGAACUUCCAACAUCAACAUCCUCUGGAAGAGUCAUUCCAGAAUAUGAUCAUCAAAAAACUUCAAUGAAGAUCCUGGCGCUGUUGCAGUAGUAGCUGCAUUCAUCCCACCGGUUCCUGGACUUGCCAUGGGAAUGAAGAAGGAGAUAUCUAAGCUGGCCUCUGCAUACAGUCAAACAACAAAUAUGACUGGAUCUAUACUGUCGGAUCUCAACCAAGAAUUAGGAGAAGGUUCAUGAUGCGUGACCAAAACUGAAGUUUCUGUGAUGACUGCCCUUGCACUGUUCACCAUAAAUCAUUGCCUGCCAACAGCCUCCCGCACUCCUUGGAUUGGACUCUGACAAAUAUAUGGUCAUGACAGUUGACAUUUCCUGCUGAGGAACUUCCCAACUUUGUUACUUUGUUUCUGAAAGCAAGAAAAUGAUGUCAGCCUGGCUUCCCAGCACUGAGCCUCCUGGCUUAGUCCUCUGACCCUGUGCUGCUCGAUUCAGCAGUUCCUUUCGUUACGGUCCAAACCGACAUCAGCUCAAUGAAGACUAACAGAUUUGACCCGGCCACCUCUGAACCUUCAUCUAAGGCAGAAACUGAAACAUUGAGUGGAUGGGCUUGGACAGAGAACUCUGCAUCACCUCUCUGGCUCAUCACCCCUGACUCUGGGUGACUGUCCAUGCAGCUAUAAGUGCACCUUGCCAGGUGCGCUCCUGAAAUGAAGCCUUCCUCGGCUCACCAUCUUCAGGAUUCUACCUGUUUUAUCUUUUCAGUCCCGAGGAGAAAUAAGGUCUCUCCCCUACAGUUCUGGAGGACAGGAGUCUGGUGCAGUCUCCGGGGGCAGGUUGAGGUGAAGGCUUGCUUGUUCCCGAGGGGCCCCGGCGUGAUCUGUCUCUACGUCCUCUCCAGCACCCGGAGACCGCCUGCAUUCCUUGGUGCCUGCCUCCAUUACCACAGCUUGCAACACUGCAUCUCUUUGGUCCUUCCUCCACGGCCACAUCACCCCUUCCUCUGUCUUCCACUUCCAUUUUUAAGGAUUUUAGGAAUGAUUACAUCGGGCCCAGCAGGGUAAUCCAGCCUCGCUAUUUUAAGGUCAGUUGAUUAGCAUCUUUAAUUCAUCUGCAAACUUAGUUCUGCUUUGCCUUACAUCCUAACAUAUUCACAAGGUUCAGGGAUAAGGACAGGGACAUAUAUGGGGGGCCCUUAUUCUGCCCACCACAGGUAUUUUAAAAUAUCUAAUAUAUAUCUGUUGUUUCUUACUUGAUUAGAAAGAUGGUAUGUGUGGAAUUAAAAAACUCUCAUCUGAAAAUUACAAUUCGAUUGACACCUCUAUCAUAGCACUUUUACAUUAUAUCAAAAUGAUCUAUUUUUUUACUUGUCUGUCUGCCUCACUAAUGUAUAUGCUUCCAUAGAGAAUAUAUUUUAUUUGUCUUUGAAUCCUCUGGACACAAGUACAGUAACCCAUGUAAAUUGAUAAUCAUGCAACAAUUUCUUGUAUCAUCCUUUUUUAACCUUUAUGAAUGCCUUCCAAAACCCAAGUGCAUUGGUCAAAAAAAUUUUGUCUUUCCUUUUUUGUUAACAAUUGUCAUCUCUCAUGCUUCAAGAAACAAAUGAUUUGUUUCAUUCUAGUAGGUAGAAAUUCACAGGAAAUAUAAAAUUAUUUUCAGGUGUACUAAAAAGAGAAUGAAGGUCUGUGAAGUUUCCUAAUAUAUAUAAUGAGGAUUUCAUUGCAAAUGCAAAAGGAAAUUGGACAUUAUUUUACUGAGAAACUUAGGUUCUAUUAGUGACGUAUUUGUAUGAUGCACGAUCCAUGAAUGUGAACCAGUUAUUCCCAGUUUUGUAAUUUUUUAUUGUACUUAUUACAUCGGGAUCUGCAUCAGCACAAAUAAUCUGUCCAAUUUUUGGAAGAAGUCAAACUGUUUAUUGCAUUAUUCUGUGAGUUUGACAACAUGCACACAGUAUUCCGGGGAAGUAUCUGCCGCUUUUGCUGCUUUUCUUUCUUUGUCAUUAUUCUCGUUUCAGUUUGCGCAUCUGGGUACAGAAGAGUGGAAUGAAACUAUCCUUUGACUCAUUCUCAGAUCCUUCAUGAUGAAUUGAUUGUUUGGCCAACCUAAGAAGAUGGUCCACUAAUUGGCCUAUUUACCAUAUACUUUCAGUUUACGUAUUUCUCAUUACUGCCUCGUCUUUACCGUAUGCAGUCUUCACUUCUCUUAUGUGGUUCUCUUAAUUGAUUUUUCUGCUGCUCACAGUUAGCAUCCCUUAUCCCCAUAAUCCUUGCCAAAGUAGCAUUCCUUUUCUCUUAGGAACAGCAGGCACAGACCUGCCUCUAAAUCGAAAGCCUCCGCUCAAGGUAAUCUCACAGCUUUUUGUGGACCCCGGGCAAAUACACAGUCAUUAUUGCAAAUGCCUUCUGCUCUUCAGAAGAAAGGUUUGCCCGUUCCCUGGGGUCACCUGCUUGUGGUUAUGCCAGUCUGCGAGCGGUGACUUUGUAUGAGUUAAAACUGGUCAGUAGGAUCUGUCCCUAAGGUGUGUGAGCUUGGUGGGCCAAUAAUUCUAUCAUUUCUAGUGAUGCUAGGACUUUGAGUUAUAGUUGGAGUAAAUAUUAGAACUGUUGUUUCCUCCAAUGGAAAAAGGGGAUUUAAAUAGAAUAUUUCUCCUCUUUAAAAGCAUUAAUUCAUGCUCCAUUAUUUGUUUCAAAAGUCACCGAUGAAAAUACAGACCUAAUCCAUGAAUCUCACCAACUCAGGGAAGCAUUUAGUGUUAUUCCCUCCAAUUUUUAUAGAAGUUAUAAAUCUGGUAUAUCUGUGUGUGUGUAUAUAUAUAUAUAUACAUACAUGUAAGCUUUUCUGUGUAUAUCCUUUUAUUAUUAAAUAACAAAAAUGUCA